CACGNUAAUACCGCAUACGCCCUACGGGGAAAGCGGGGGAUUUUCAGACCUCGCGCUAUGAGAUGAGCCUGCGUUAGAUUAGCUAGUUGGUGGGGUAAAGGCCUACCAAGGCGACGAUCUAUAGUUGUCUGAGAGGACGAUCAGCCACACUGGGACUGAGACACGGCCCAGACUCCUACGGGAGGCAGCAGUGGGGAAUAUUGGACAAUGGGCGGAAGCCUGAUCCAGCAAUACCGCGUGUGUGAAGAAGGCCUUAGGGUUGUAAAGCACUUUCAAUUGGGAGGAAAACCUACCGGUCAAUACCCGGUAGCUUGACAUUACCUUUAGAAGAAGCACCGGCUAACUCCGUGCCAGCAGCCGCGGUAAUACGGAGGGUGCGAGCGUUAAUCGGAAUUACUGGGCGUAAAGCGUGCGUAGGCGGUUCGUUAAGUCAGAUGUGAAAGCCCUGGGCUCAACCUGGGAACGGCAUUUGAAACUGGCGGACUAGAGUUUAGUAGAGGGGAGUGGAAUUUCAGGUGUAGCGGUGAAAUGCGUAGAUAUCUGAAGGAACACCAGUGGCGAAGGCGACUCCCUGG
rnacentral:rRNA from 1 species